CCUGCAAACUGUGGUAAUCCCGCCCCUAGUGGCGGGCAUCACCACAACCCUACCCCAUCGCCUCCUUCAGGAGGCCAUGGAGGUGGUGGUUACUAUCCCUCCCCUCCAUCUCAUAGUGGAAGCCCUCCAAGUACUCCUACACCUACACCUAGUACCCCCAGUACACCAUCCACCCCCUCCACACCUACUAUUGUCACCCCGCCUACACCUCCUACCAUUGACCCUGGCACUCCAAGCACUCCAGGGGGUGGUUACUAUGGUGGAAGUCCUCCAAGUAUUCCUACACCUAGUACCCCUAGUAUUACACCCACUACCCCUUCUACACCUAUCAUUGAAACACCACCAACUACUCCUGUCGUUGAAACACCACCAACUACUCCUACUAUUGAUCCAGGCACUCCAAGUGCUCCAGGAGUCUUUCCAAUUGACCCCAACUCACCACCUUUUACAUGCGAGUAAGUCAAGUGAAAAUUAUUUGCUGUUUCAUUUUAUAUUACAGUAUUUGACUAGACAUACAGUUUAAUAAAGAAAAAGAAUUUUUUAACGCAUACCUAAUGUACCUAAUGAGAACUUGUCCUAACAUGAAAUGUUAUGAAUUGCAGCUACUGGAGGACUCACCCAACACUAAUAUGGGGCAUACUCGGCUGGUGGGGAAGUGUAGGCAAUGCAUUUGGUGUGUCUAGUGUUCCAGCUUUGGGUGCAAACAUGAACUUACUGCAAGCACUUUCAAACACUCGCCCGGAUGGCUUAGGGGAGCUCUACAGAGAAGGAACAGCUUCUUUAUUGAACUCCAUGGUUAGCAGGAGGUUCACCUACACUACAGACCAAGUGAGGAAUAGUUUU
rnacentral:lncRNA from 1 species